rnacentral:lncRNA from 1 species
GGCGGCGCCUGAGGAGCAGGAUCUAACUCAGGAGCAGACCGAGAAGCUGCUGCAGUUUCAGGUAGCAGCGAGUUCUCGGUGCAGCAAAGGCCGCCGCGGGAUGGGGAGUGGGACCCUAGAGGAGCGCAAAAUCAUCCUCAGUUGGGGUUGGGACCAUUUUCAGACCCGCUGGCGGCCCCCUCCCCCCCAAACGCCAACUGCCCGGAUUUCCCCGGCGUCCAACCUCUGUCGGUACUCAGCCUUCCAGCCACCUCUGCCAGCCAGGCUCGACCACAGUGGGUCAGCUGCCUUAAUUUCCCUUAGCGGCGCCGGUCCGCAAUGCUUGCCAGCCUGAUUAACCCGCCAGACCCUCUCCGCCCAUCGACUGUUGAUGUGCUAAGAGCCUAAAAUCCCCUUC